rnacentral:rRNA from 1 species
CCUACGGGAGGCAGCAGUGAGGAAUCUUGCGCAAUGGGCGAAAGCCUGACGCAGCCACGCCGCGUGCCGGAUGAAGGCCCUAUGGGUUGUAAACGGCUUUUACUAGGGAAGAACGAGAGGGUUUUGAUCUUCUGUGACGGUACCUAGUGAAUAAGCACCGGCUAACUCCGUGCCAGCAGCCGCGGUAAUACGGAGGGUGCAAGCGUUGUCCGGAAUCAUUGGGUGUAAAGGGUACGUAGGCGGGAGCCUAAGUCUGGGGUGAAAUCUUGCCGCUUAACGGUAAAAUGGCCUUGGAUACUGGGUUUCUUGAGUGCAGAAGAGGCAGGUGGAAUUCGUGGUGUAGCGGUGAAAUGCUUAGAUAUCACGAAGAACAUCAGUGGCGAAGGCGGCCUGCUGGUCUGCAACUGACGCUGAGGUACGAAAGCGUGGGGAGCGAACAGGAUUAGAUACCCUGGUAGUCCACGCCGUAAACGAUGCAUACUAGGUGUUGGCCUUAGGGCCAGUGCUGCAGUUAACGCAUUAAGUAUGCCACCUGGGGAGUACGUCGGCAACGAUGAAACUCAAAGGAAUUGACGG